AAAAGAAAAAAAAAGUUGCUGACAUUAAUGUGAAACAGCGUCAGAUUCCAAGCACUGUAGAGUGGUCAGGUCAUUUUGAAUAAUGUCCUUGAAAUUACAGAUUUAUUACACGAGUAAAAAUAUGUGGUUACAAAUUCCACGGCUCUCCUGGCCUUGUAGUGGAUUUGUAUUUUUAGAGUCCAGUGGGAUUACAGUAUUUUGGUGGUUAAACUCUGGCAAAGCCUGUGAGAGCAUAACAACCACAUUAUUUCAAUGGCUUCUUUCCUGAAAUGACCAUUGUUACAGACGGAGAACAGUGAGCAGGAUUCUUAGAAAUGCUGCACGGACUUCUCUAGGAGUCAUGGAGCACUGCUGUUAAUUCCGGCGAUUGACUGUCUACAAGAUUGAGAACAAGCCCUUGAUCUAAAAGGAAGGCUGCACACUGCUCGUCAGAAACUGGGUGGAGGGCUCGUUGAUCAGGAAUGACAGUAACGGGCUAACUCCACUCUGACAUGCAAAGGCUCAACCCAGCUGCUAGGUAGAGAGAAAUCCAGUCUCUGACCACAGACACAACCUGCUGGGAAUAAGUCAAGGACCAAUUCGUUUCUCCUGCUCACCUCAAACAGGUACUAUCUGCAGAUAGCAUAGGGAGCCCCAGUGAGCACGCUGCAGCUUCUGCCUGUCCUGACCUACACCUUCCAUUCCCGCAGCUUCUCAUGGUAACCAUGCGAGCUGGGGCAGUGCCCCUGCUUUGGUGGAACCAGCUUCUCCAUCUUCAACUUUAAAUUAAGAGGAAAGACUAUGCAGAAGAACUCUUACAAGCCUGACAAAACAUAUUGACCUAUUCCUCCGGUACCUAGUUAGUAAUUCGAUAUAUGUAUUUAUUUAAAUGAAUAGAUUUUUUUUCCCCCAGCAGUCUUAAGCUUAGGGAUAAUUUUCUUAGCAAGUAUGGAGUUCGUAUUAUGGAGCCCCAGGCUAAUAUAGUUCGCACUGUUGCUAACAUCUUUCAUUAGUGUGGCCCAUCUGUUAAACUGAUAAAGCGGUAUCUGCAUAUUACUAUUAACUUAAGAGCAUAGUUUACAGUGAGCACUUUCUUAUGGGCUGUGUAGUUCCGGGUUUUCAUAAUGUCAUGCAUAUCGAGUGUAAUGAUUUUACUCUUCUAAAAAUUAUCUACCCUUACGUCUGAAAAUGAAACUCCAAUGGCAGUGUGCUUCCCUACAAAAUGGCUCAUGGGGGGGCGGCGGGCAAAGACAGAGCAGCCUGACCAGGUAAGAAACCUGUGCCAUCAUUCUGGUGAAAUUAUGUGGGCCAGAGCGAAGGCACUGAGUAGCAGAUAUGAGACAUUUGUAACAUAUCCUGACCCAAUGUGCUAUUAUUUUGUUCAUUAAUCUAAAUUAUUCUUGCGUCCUGUUAUCAGGUAAUGAUGAUGUCAUAGUCUGGUGUUAACCAUUUCAACGAUUUUUCAGUAAAUCACGAGACCGGUAGUGGCGGUUUUUUUUUUCUUUUAAAGAAUGUAGCCUUUUCUAGCUUGAAAAAUUGGGGAAGUUUUAUUGUGAGUAGAUUUAUCUAUGGCUGAGGUAUUUCUUUUAAAUGAUUUUCUCCUAUAGAGAUAUAUUUAGCUUACUUAAAAUAUAAUUCAGUUCCAAUUUGCCAUUUUUUCUUGCCAGUGAGUCAAAGUGUCAUAGGAAAUAAAGGCAGAGACUCAUUAAAGUCCUAGGCUCUUAAAACAUUUUCUUUUCUUCCCUCAGAGCAGCAAAAUUAGGGGGAGGAGUGUGGCUACAGUGAAUGGGUGUCACUGAGAAUCAUGAAUAGGGCACCAGAUUCGGAGAUGAAGAUCGCUUUGGCUUUUGAAAUGUUAAAUUCCUUCCGGUUGUAAGUAGGAGAGACAGGGCUAACCCUGCUACUCUCAUGCUUUCCCCCAAAUUCAAAUGCUACCACCAUUGGAUUUCAGGAGAACGAGGAAGGUUUUAGAUGCACGUCCACCUGAGCAAGGAGAAUUCCAGAGGUGCAGCCAAUCUCACUCUGGCAUUAAUCAUUGAAACUCAUCUCAAUAACGAGGCAUAAAUAUGAAUACAGUGACUUAAGGGCUAUUUUAUGAAGCAUAGUCUACCUUGGGGGAUCUCUUAUAGGAAUUAGUAAUAUAAAGCAAAAUAAAACUGAGUAAGCUGAGUAAGGAGCCAGGCAGUCAACUCUACAUGUAAGUAACGUAAUGUAACAUGUCCAGGAGUUAGCUUAAAUUGUCACCUUGACACAAGCCUAGAGUCACUUUUGAAGAGAGAACAUCAAUGGAGAAACUGUCUCCUUCAAAUCGACCUGUGACGAUGUAUAUGAGGCACUUUCUUAUUUGAUAACCCACGUGGGAACCCAGGGAACCCACUGUGGGUGGUGCCACUCCCUAGGCAGAAGGACCUGCGCUGUAUAAUAAAGUUGAGCAAGCUAGGGGAAGCAAGCCUGGAAAUAGUAUUCUGCAAUGGCUGUUGUUUCACUUACCACUUCCAGGUUUUGCCUUGGUACCUGCCCGGGUUUCCUCGGAUGAUAGACAGUAACUUGUAAGGUGAAAUAACCGCUUUACUCCCGAGUUGCUUUUGGUCAUGGUGUUUCUAAUAGCAAUAGAAAGGCCACAGGUAGAUCAGGCAGGGGGCAGGAGAAGGGAUGAAGCGUGAGUAGAACAUGCUGGUGAGACAGUUUUGGGAGGAGUGAGGACCUAGAUAAGGGCAUGAUGCAGAUGAAGUAAAGAUGGUUUCCGGGUGCACAAGACGCAGGUGUGAUAACCUGCAAGAGUGAGGAGUGGGCUGGAGCGGACAACUGGGUAGGAGGUGGGGUUUCCAUAGUGUGGGGAGCAUAGGCGGCGGAAGUCUCCAAAGUGUCCCGACCUAAAACCUUACAGUGGAGAGUGGGAAGCACACAGAGCAUAGGAAGACACAGAGGGUCUAGUCAGCCCCUUCAUGAGGUAAGGAGUGGCCAGGGCUUGAGCUUCGCGGUGCUUUUCUUGUCUCAGGUGACAGUGUUUGAAGAUAGCCUGGGUGUGUGAUGAAUAGACCAGGAAGGAUUGGUACAGAAAUCACUGUGCGAGUGUUAAUGUAGAAAGGUGAAGUUGAGA
rnacentral:sRNA from 1 species